GACGAACGCUGGCGGCGUGCUUAACACAUGCAAGUCGAACGGAAAGGCCCUGCUUUUGUGGGGUGCUCGAGUGGCGAACGGGUGAGUAACACGUGAGUAACCUGCCCUUGACUUUGGGAUAACUUCAGGAAACUGGGGCUAAUACCGGAUAGGAGCUCCUGCUGCAUGGUGGGGGUUGGAAAGUUUGGGCGGGUGGGGAUGGACUCGCGGCUUAUCAGCUUGUUGGUGGGGUAGUGGCUUACCAAGGCUUUGACGGGUAGCCGGCCUGAGCGGGUGACCGGCCACAAUGGGACUGAGAUACGGCCCAGACUCCUACGGGAGGCAGCAGUGGGGAAUAUUGCACAAUGGGCGGAAGCCUGAUGCAGCAGCGCCGCGUGCGGGAUGACGGCCUUCGGGUUGUAAACCGCUUUCGCCUGUGACGAAGCGUGAGUGACGGUAAUGGGUAAAGAAGCACCGGCUAACUACGUG
rnacentral:rRNA from 1 species